rnacentral:lncRNA from 1 species
CAGUAUGCACACCAUGGUGAAACCACAGAUGUGCCAUCAUGAAUUGGGUGUUGCGAAAUUCAGUGCAGGGGUAAAAUGGUAAUUUUAAAACUUUUUCAAAAUUAAUAUUUUACAACAAAAAUUAUUAAUUAAUCUAAUUAAUUAACAUGAAUUUACCCUACACUAGGAUCUAAAUAUGAUAUAUAGCAUGCAUUCAUUUAAAUUUGAAAUUCAAAUUCGAACAGUAAACACUUUACUGUAAUGUGUUCAGAACACAAUACCUUUGUGUGGGUAGUAGAUCGCCGUAAUUUGAUCACC